GAUGAAGAACGCAGCGAAAUGCGAUAAGUAAUGUGAAUUGCAGAAUUCAGUGAAUCAUCGAAUCUUUGAACGCACAUUGCGCCCGCCAGCAUUCUGGCGGGCAUGCCUGUUCGAGCGUCAUUUCAACCCUCGAGCCCCCCCGGGGGCCUCGGUGUUGGGGGACGGCACACCAGCCGCCCCCGAAAUGCAGUGGCGACCCCGCCGCAGCCUCCCCUGCGUAGUAGCACACACCUCGCACCGGAGCGCGGAGGCGGUCACGCCGUAAAACGCCCAACUUUCUUAGAGUUGACCUCGAAUCAGGUAGGAAUACCCGCUGAACUUAAGCAUAUCAAUAAGCGGAGGA
rnacentral:misc_RNA from 1 species